UCUUCCCUCAUAUGUAGGGAGAGUAAGGAGUAUCAGGGAGCUGAAAUAUAGGAGUAAUGAGGGUGAAAAGAAGAAGCAGUAGGAUCAGCUGAGCCGGUCCAUUACGCAACUCUUGGAAAAGGUUCUUAUAUUGUUGAUCACAACCGACACUUUCACUUCGCUCUUGAAGUGUAAAUCUUUGUUUUUUCCUCUUCCCUACAUCUGGCUGUGUUGUAUUUUUUUUUUUUUUUUUAGCUUAUCAGGUCAAUUCUGACUGUAUGUAUGUGUGGUGCGUGAUAUUUUUAGCUAUACGAAAGUAGGUGAAGAGGAUUAGGGAGGAAAAGGGAGAGGAUGGGAUGUGGUGUUCAGGAGCAUUAGGUCGAGGUCUUUUCUGCCGGCCGGUGAUCGGGUAGCCCGUGAGAUGCUCAUGCCGGUUGUGAUUCUGUAGGCUGUAUGAUGCUUGUGCUACAUUGCUGCAGAGUUAUUUCAAGGAUUGGAUGUGGCUGUAGAACAAGUAUAGAUGUCUCUAAAGUGAUUGGUGAUUAGGGAAAAAGGUAUACCAAGGUGCAAUCAAAGGGUCGAAGCUAUUAUCUUCAUCCACAUUUUUCUCACUAAGAUGUAUAACUCAGACAUCAUUCAUCCAUUCUUGUCUAGACUGACCAUAAGACAUGUGCUAUCGCAUUAUCUUUGUUCUUAUCGGAGUUGGGUUUUUCAUCAAUGUUCAUACACAGUGAGACAAUUGUGGGUGACUGACCUCGGCUUGGACUGUGGUGGGUGUCAUUGCUUGAGUGGCAGGGUAUCUUCUCAGGAAUUUGAUCCACAACAGUUGCUAUGCAUAACUUAUUUUUGCAGUUUCAGAUCUCAAGAUUUUUACUGUUUCAGAACUUGAGUCUUUCUGUUUAGAUAACUUGUACUCUUUCAAAAUUUGAUUUUCACACUAGAUAUCUUUAUACAGUUUCAUAAUACAAGCCAUUAUUGAGGAAGGAGAGAGUGACGUUUGGUUCAUGUGAAAGACAGGAAGAGGAGGAGAUUGAGGCAAGGGUUCACUCUACAGAGGAAUGGGAAGAAAUAAGGCUGGAAAUGAUAGAUUACUUCUAUUGAUAAUUCAAGAUAAAGGAAGGUGCACCUUUUUGUGUGUUUGAACUAAUUCAUAAUCAGAUUACUUGGGCUUUAAGAACGACAGGUAGGCCAUACAGCUGCAGGGUUUUAUUACAUUAGGUUUAUCAAUGUAGGGCAUGGACAAGGAAAAUAUUUUGGUGUAAUGACCUGUGUGUGUGUGUGUGUGUGUGUGUGCGUGCAUCUCUUUAAUCAGGGUAUUAGCAUGAUAAGUUUUUAGUAAAGUGUAGUUUAUUGAAUACUUCCUACCUGGCUUGUCUUCAUUAACUAUGUCUUAACUGGUUGGCUUCUUUAACUAUAUCUGGGUUACCUGGUUGUUUUCAUGGCUGACUGGCGAGUUUGAUUCACUACCUGAGUUACUUAUCUGGCUUGCUUUGUUUAUUAGCAGGCUGUCUUUAUUCACUACAGUACCUGGCUUACUCACCUGACUGGCAUUCCUUACUUCAUGGAUUAAUUGAUCUACUUAGCUUGAGCAUGUAUUAAGAAUGGUUGAUUGGUUCUAUAAAGAAAUAAGGAUACUUCUGGUUAUAUUGUCAAAGCAUGUGGUAUUAUAUCUACAGCUAGUAUAUCUCAUUGUAUCAAAGUUCAUACAUCUCUUAAAUAAUCUUUCACUGGGUGCAUUUUAGUAACAUGACCUAAAUCACAUAUCAGAUGCUAUCAUCAUGGACAAAGCUUGACUGGCAUCACAUGAUUUGCUCCCUUUCUAUUGUUUGUCUUUUUAAUUAAUUUCUACCCUUAUUGUUAUUUAUAUUAUUCAUCAUUUUUUUUAACUGCAUCUUUAUCUUUUUUUAUUCUUUUCCCUUUAUCCUUUUCUUUUUAAUCCUCUUUACACUUAUUCUUACCUUCACUACUUUGUUUUCCUUCUUUUUGGAUAAAGUUAAGGAAAUACAAUAAUCAUUAUUUGGGUAACAAGGUGACAAGGAAACAUUACCAUUGUAUAGAUGCACCAGAUGAUACCAUUGAUUUAAGAGAAGCUACUGUUACAUAUAUCACUACUGUCAACACACAGCCAGAAUUUGAUUAAUCUGUUAUAUACCUAUUGUAUUUUGUGUCUUUCCUCCUGACGUGAUUGUAAACUAGAAGGAAAGAAAUGUCACUUAUAUUGGAGAGAAGGCUAUGAAUGUCUUUUUUUGAAGGGGAAGGUAGAGAAAGAGACUACAGAAUGAACACAACAAGAGAAAAUAAUGUUAUAAUAGAAACAGACAGAAUUAAACAAAAUCUUACGGGCAAGCAAAGAAAGAUAAAACAAGUAUAGACAGAUAAACAGACAGACAGGCUAACAAUUAGGCAACAAUAAACUCA
rnacentral:lncRNA from 1 species